rnacentral:rRNA from 1 species
UACGGGGGGGGCAAGCGUUGUUCGGAAUUACUGGGCGUAAAGGGCUCGUAGGUGGCCAACUAAGUCAGACGUGAAAUCCCUCGGCUCAACCGAGGAACUGCGUCUGAGACUGUGGGGCUUGAAUCCGGGAGAGGGAUGCGGAAUUCCAGGUGUAGCGGUGAAAUGCGUAGAUAUCUGGAGGAACACCGGUGGCGAAGGCGGCAUCCUGGACCGGUAUUGACACUGAUGAGCGAAAGCCAGGGGAGCAAACGGG